rnacentral:misc_RNA from 1 species
CAACCCUUAAGCCUCAGUUGCUUAGUGUUGGGAGCCUACAGCCUGCUGUAGCUCCUCAAAGACAGUGGCGGAGUCGGUCUCGUACCCCGGACGUAGUAAUUUUUAUCUCGUCUGUUGGUCGGGCUGGCGUCCAGCCGUAAAACAACCCAAUUUUAAA